UACGGGAGGCAGCAGUGGGGAAUAUUGCACAAUGGGCGCAAGCCUGAUGCAGCCAUGCCGCGUGUGUGAAGAAGGCCUUCGGGUUGUAAAGCACUUUCAGUAGGGAGGAAGGCCCUAAAGUUAAUACCUUUGGGGAUUGACGUUACCUACAGAAGAAGCACCGGCUAACUCCGUGCCAGCAGCCGCGGUAAU
rnacentral:rRNA from 1 species